rnacentral:rRNA from 1 species
CCAAUAGCGUAUAUUAAAGUUGUUGCAGUUAAAAAGCUCGUAGUUGAACUUCGGGAUCAAUUGAUAUGGUCAUGCCUUGGUAUGUACUGUUCAUAUUGGUUCUCACCUUCUAAUGAACCAUAAUGUCAUUUAUUUGAUGUUAUGGGGAAUUAGGACUGUUACCUUGAAAAAAUUAGAGUGUUCAAAGCAGGCUCACGCUUGAAUACAUUAGCAUGGAAUAAUGAAAUAGGACAUCGCAUUCUAUUUUGUUGGUUUCUAGGAUCGAUGUAAUGAUUAAUAGGGAUAGUUGGGGGCAUUAGUAUUCAAUUGUCAGAGGUGAAAUUCUUGGAUUUACUGAAGACUAACUACUGCGAAAGCAUUUGCCAAGGAUGUUUUCAUUAAUCAAGAACGAAAGUUAGGGGAUCGAAGACGAUCAGAUACCGUCGUAGUCUUAACCAUAAACUAUGCCGACUAGGGAUCGGAUGAUGUUGAUUUUUUAAUGACUCAUUCGGCACCUUACG